AUGGCAACCAUCACCAAACGCUUUGCUACAGCCCAUUGCCAUGGGCAAUGCCACUGAGAUUCAUUGCUAAGGUCAGUUACCAUGGCAACCAUCCUAAAUUCUCAUUGCUAAGGUCAGUUACCAUGGCAACCAUCCUAAAUUCCCAUUGCUACGGUCAGUUACUUCAAUGUCCUGCUUACAGAGAAGGGGGUGGAGUUUAGUGCAGUGUGGGGAUGACCAGCUCCUGCGGGGAAGCUGCCAGCAGAGACAGAGUGGUGACAAGGUGAUCCCCCCUCAGGCUGAGCUUCUCAAGCAAGAGAAAAGCAGGCCUGCACAGGACUGAGCCUCAAGGAGCGGCUGCGUGGCACUACCAGGACGGCCCAGCUCUUGGGGUUUGGUUUGUCCUUGUUUUCAGGCUGAGGGGGUGGGAAAUGUUAGCCUUGGCAUAUUGCUGUGUUAGCUCCCCGAGCACAUUGCCUUCAUUUCCCAAAUACCACUUGGCACAGCAUGUGGGAGCUCCCCCACCACAUUGCCUUUGUCUGGGGACACUAUGCAGACACAUCCCACGAGGAGCACCUGCAAUCUUGUUUGUGUGCCCAGUGGUGAAUACCUUUUGGGGGUGAAACACUUUCUUUUUUUGUAUACUUUUGCUCUUAAUAUUGCUGUUGUUACUGUGCGUGUCUUAUUCCAUUGCUGUGUGCUUUCAGAAAAUUGUUAUCUGAA